AUAUGGGGCGGGGCUGCACAUUCAGCCCCGCCCAUAAGUAGGCGGGACUGAACAUGUCGCUCCGCCUACAAGUCUUUCAUUGGUUCACGGAAACAUAUUGACGUUGAUGUAAUGUAUGCUUUCGAUUCCGGUUUUCAUCUCUGCAUGAUGCCGCCUGAGAUCCUGCAGUGUAUCCUACAGAGAGUUGUCACACAGGAUGGUGAUGAGACAUUUCUGCAACUCUCACUGAAAUCCAGGACCUGCUGAGCCAUUGUCAUUCAUUUAUUCAUUUUCUUGUCGGCUUAGUCCCUUUAUUAAUCCGGGGUUGCCACAGUGGAAUGAACCGCCAACUUAUCCAGCAAGUUUUUACGCAGCGGAUGCCAUUCCAACUCCGUUAGUUUUAAAAACUUUGAAUUAUGGUUGUGUCUUGCUUAAAUAAGUACUUGAUUUUUUUUUAGGUGUCAUCAAUCAGAGUGCCAUAUACUUUGACAAAGUGCUUUGUCUGUGGGGUAUGGCGAGAGGGGGGUCCUGCAAGCAUUCUGUUCAACAAAUGACUUCCCAAUAUAUUGCUCAGCAGAUUGUUACUUUAAUGCUGUAGUGGAAUUUCCCUGUAAAAAAUAUAUAAUUGUUUUUAUGUUUAUUAAAGGUAAUAAUAAUCACAAACUGCUGUAUCUUAAAUUAUUAUUAUUAUUUUCUAUAAAUUGUCAGUCUUCCUUUUGUGCAUGUGUGCAUGUGCAUACACAGAUGUUCUGUAGGUGAGACAUCUGACAUCUAAAAAAACACAGAUCUGCCAGAUUUUUACUUGAACCGAGAAAGAGGGACUUUCAACUAAGUGUCUUGCUUUGUGUUGGUGUUUUUACUGAAGAUGAAGUUGGUAUGUAUUUAUCAGCAUUUGUCAAAUAAAAAAUUCAGAAGUUUA